rnacentral:lncRNA from 1 species
AGCAAACAGGAUCUAACCUAUAUGGGCCUAUGACCCGGUAAACAACAGCGGCUAUUAAUAUCUGACAAGCAUCAGGAGAUUGACAAACAACGCAUGCAAUUCCGAGGCAAAGCUUCACCCUACAGUACAAGCUUCGUCCGGGGUCAACAAUUGGCUCCAGAUAUGAUUGUCGUCCCCAGCCAAACAAAAGAUGGGCUGCUGAGCACUAAACGCCACUCUAAGGCCUUGUUUAGUUCGCAAAAAUUUUCAAGAUUCCCCGUCACAUCGAAUCUUACGGCACAUGCAUGGAGCAUUAAAUAUACAUGAAAACAAAAAUUAUUUGCACAGUUCAUCUGUAAACCGCGAGAUAAAUCUUUUGAGCCUUGUUACUCUAUAAUUGAACAAUGUUUGUCAAAUAAAACGAAAGUGAUACAGUGCCGUUUUUCACAAGUUUUUACGAACUGAACAUGGCCUAACUCCAACCAACAUGGUCGAUCGAUCCCAACAAUACAGAGGCAGAUCUGAAACCGCGUGGAGUACGUAGCUGGCUACUAGCUUGAUCCAUAUACGAUACGAGGAGACAGACAAAAGAACUGUAGUCUGUAGCUAGAUCACCGACUGUCGACUGGCCGGCCGACGUCGUUUUCCCUGGGUUUAGGCCACCAUGAAAAUCAAAAAGUUUUUCAAGCUGUCACAUCGAAUCUUACGGCACAUGCAUGAAGCAUUAAAUAUAGACGAAAAUAAAAAAUAAUUAUAUAGUUUGUCUGUAAAUCGCAAGACAAAUCUUUUAAUUCUAGUUAAUCUAUGAUCAGAUAAUAUUUGCCACAAACAAACGAAAGUGCCUUAAUUAAUUUCCUAGCUAUUCCGCUCGCAGAAUAAACGCCAGCUUCCUGUGUCCGACAGAAAAAAAAAAAGAUCUAGUCUGCAUGCAAUGAAAUCAUGCUCCGUGCCAACACAUGUAGCGUUCUCCGUUUCCUCGUAGUAUUCGCUGACGCGAAGCAGGGACGACGGUGCUUCGGCAGCUCGAGCCAUUUCGUAAGAUCGGUGAAUCGCCGAUCAUCUGGAGCUCAGACUUCAUUAUCAGAACAAAAGCGGCGACAGCAGAGGGAGAAAUGAAACAAAUACUCUUAAUGUUCAGCGGG